GGGACUGUAGCUCAGUGGUAGAGCACAUGCCUUAUAUUUAUGAGACCCUCAGUACUA
rnacentral:tRNA from 1 species